UCACUUUUUCGUUGCAAAAUGUUUUGUUUUAGUGUGCCUAUACUGAACACAUCCCAGCCAGGGACUCGAUCUUUGGCUAUGCAGGAAUUUAAACAAAGAAAGACAAGUACUGAUUUGUAGAAUGUGUAUUGUGAAAGCAAGUUUGCGCGGCAGGUAUGUCCUCUGAAAGCAGUUUUAUUCCUGAUGGCUGGCAGUGAAUUGAGUCUUUGUGCUGGCAGAUGUUUGGAAUAAAUACGUUAUGCGUGUUAUCUGAUAGCAGUUGGACCCGUCUUGAACGGUUGAAAAACAACUGAAAGACUCUUGUUGAACCUGAACGCGGGUUUUUCCCCCAGAAAAGGACACUAGAAAACGAAGAAAAUAAUAAUAAAGGGUCAAUUGGGGACACCAGGUGGAUGUGCCACAACAAAGAAACUCCACCGCCUUGUACAGUAUGCGGGCUAGUUGUCUGGAAAAUGAUUUGCAGGAGACAAAAGACAGGUUGAAUGAAUGCUGGCUUCAACUCUCAGCUCAAACACCUCAAUGUAACGGGAUUCUUCCGUCGAAGGAGAGGAGGACCAAAAUGCAGCGUGGUUGAAAUUCAUGUUUGUUUUUAAUAAACAAACUAUACAUGAAUAAACUACAACAACAAACGUGUAAACCCAAACCAGUCCCGUGUGGAACAACCACUGACACAGGAGACAAUCACCCACAAAACCCAACACCAAACAGGCUACCUAAAUAUGGUUCCCAAUCAGAGACAAUGACUAACACCUGCCUCUGAUUGAGAACCAUAUCAGGCCAAACACAGAAACAGACAAACAAGACACACAACAUAGAAUGCCCACUCAGAUCACACCCUGACCAACCAAAACAUAGAAACAUACAAAGCAAACUAUGGUCAGGGUGUGACACUCAAGUUUGAGAGAGCUUGACCUGGGAGGAAAGAAACUCCAGGAUUCAGGAGUGAGAUUCAUCUGUGCUGGACUUGAGAAUCCACAGUGUAAAUUGGAGACACUGAGGCUGUCAGGCUGCAGCAUCACAGAGGAAGGCUGUGCUUCUCUUGCUUCAGCUCUGAGGUCAAACCCCUCCCACCUGAAGGAGCUGGACCUGAGUGGAAAUACUCUAGGAGUCUCUGGAGUAAAGCUGCUCUCUUCUGUACGAGAGGAUCCCCUCUAUACACUGGAGACACUGCAGUUAAAUGAUUGACAGCUCACAGAUUCAGUGAAGGAAUAGCCUCAACUCAAAAUCCUUGGUUGUGGUAGUGCCCCGCAGUUAAAUGCUUUUCCAACAGUUACUAAAUUAAUUUCAAAGUGCAUGAAUGUAAAUAUUUAAUGCUUCGAAUCAAUGAUAAUAGCUCCUUGAAUCUCUCAAUCAAUCAGAGAGGUCUGGCGAAGUGGUGCGAGGAAAAUAACCUCAACAAACACGUCACCGGGGGCACACUGCCUGCCCUCCAGGACAUCUACAGCACCCGGUGUCACAGGAAGGCCAAGAAGAUCAUCAAGGAUCUCAGCCACCCGAGCCACGGCCUGUUCACCUCGCUACCAUGUAGAAGUCGGAGACAGUACAGGUGCAUCAAAACCGGGAGAGAGAGACAGGACAGCUUUUAUCUCCAGGCCAUCAGACUGUUAAAUAGGGGGGAGGGGUGGGUGGUUGGAUGGGUGUGGCUGAAGAAACGGGAUGAGAGUUUGAGACCCACUUUUUAGUUUUCUUGUUUGAAUAUUGUACCGGUGUUCUGUUAGCUUAGUAAAAAGCCCUCCUUUUAUGACAUCAUGUCUAUACAUAUUGACUGUAGUUCAGUGUGUUCUGUUAGCUUAGUAAAAAGCCCUCCUUUUAUUAUGACAUCAUGUCUAUACAUAUUGACUGUAGUUCAGUGUGUUCUGUUAGCUUAGUAAAAAGCCCUCCUUUUAUUAUGACAUCAUGUCUAUACAUAUUGACUGUAGUUCAGUGUGUUCUGUUAGCUUAGUAAAAAGCCCUCCUUUUAUAAUGACAUCAUGUCUAUACAUAUUGACUGUAGUUCAGUGUGUUCUGUUAGCUUAGUAAAAAGCCCUCCUUUUAUGACAUCAUGUCUAUACAUAUUGACUGUAGUUCAGUGUGUUCUGUUAGCUUAGUAAAAAGCCCUCCUUUUAUAAUGACAUCAUGUCUAUACAUAUUGACUGUAGUUCAGUGUGUUCUGUUAGCUUAGUAAAAAGCCCUCCUUUUAUAAUGACAUCAUGUCUAUACAUAUUGACUGUAGUUCAGUGUGUUCUGUUAGCUUAGUAAAAAGCCCUCCUUUUAUAAUGACAUCAUGUCUAUACAUAUUGACUGUAGUUCAGUGUGUUCUGUUAGCUUAGUAAAAAGCCCUCCUUUUAUGACAUCAUGUCUAUACAUAUUGACUGUAGUUCAGUGUGUUCUGUUAGCUUAGUAAAAAGCCCUCCUUUUAUUAUGACAUCAUGUCUAUACAUAUUGACUGUAGUUCAGUGUGUUCUGUUAGCUUAGUAAAAAGCCCUCCUUUUAUUAUGACAUCAUGUCUAUACAUAUUGACUGUAGUUCAGUGUGUUCUGUUAGCUUAGUAAAAAGCCCUCCUUUUAUAAUGACAUCAUGUCUAUACAUAUUGACUGUAGUUCAGUGUGUUCUGUUAGCUUAGUAAAAAGCCCUCCUUUUAUGACAUCAUGUCUAUACAUAUUGACUGUAGUUCAGUGUGUUCUGUUAGCUUAGUAAAAAGCCCUCCUUUUAUAAUGACAUCAUGUCUAUACAUAUUGACUGUAGUUCAGUGUGUUCUGUUAGCUUAGUAAAAAGCCCUCCUUUUAUAAUGACAUCAUGUCUAUACAUAUUGACUGUAGUUCAGUGUGUUCUGUUAGCUUAGUAAAAAGCCCUCCUUUUAUAAUGACAUCAUGUCUAUACAUAUUGACUGUAGUUCAGUGUGUUCUGUUAGCUUAGUAAAAAGCCCUCCUUUUAUAAUGACAUCAUGUCUAUACAUAUUGACUGUAGUUCAGUGUGUUCUGUUAGCUUAGUAAAAAGCCCUCCUUUUAUAAUGACAUGUUAUAUACAUAUUGACUGUAGUUCAGUGUUACUGUAGUCAGCGUCUUCAUCUCAACAACCUUAUAGUCUUCCUAGUGACUACAUCUUACCAGACUGUAUUUCAGUGUAUUAUCUGUCUCAGGAUUGUCUUGUUGUACACUGCUUUGUUUUUAUUGUAGCAGCUUGGGCUUUUUGAAAAUGUAGCAUUUCUGACCUUCUAUGUGACCCUGUGUGUUAAUCUAUGGUCAACUGUAUUUCAUAUUCUUUAUACCAAGUAAAGCUGUUAUUCAUAUUGC